rnacentral:misc_RNA from 1 species
GAUGAAGAACGUAGCGAAAUGCGAUACUUGGUGUGAAUUGCAGAAUCCCGUGAACCAUCGAGUCUUUGAACGCAAGUUGCGCCCGAAGCCACUAGGCCGAGGGCACGCCUGCCUGGGCGUCACACGCCGUUGCCCCCCCAUCUACUCCUUCGGGAUUGCGGGGGGGCGGAUGAUGGCCUCCCGUGCGCCUAGCCGCGCGGUUGGCAUAAAUACCAAGUCCUCGGCGACGCACGCCACGACAAUCGGUGGUUGCGAAACCUCGGUUGCCCGUCGUGGGCGUUCGUCGCGCAUCGAGGGCUCGAAAAAAUGCUCGGCUCCGGCUGGGCUUUCAACGCGACCCCAGGUCAGGCGGGGUUACCCGCUGAAUUUAAGCAUAUCAAUAAGCGGAGGA